AAGUGGGCGGUGGCUGAAAGGGGGCUCUGGACACAGCUUCCCACAGGACCUGCUGGGUGGCUCUUCUUGGAAGCUGUCAGCACCUUGGGGAGCCAGACACCAAACACCAGGACCAGCUGUGCUUGCAUGCUGAAUACAUUCCUGCAUUCUUGGGGGUGGGGGAGAAUGAGCCGGAAUGUCAGGGCCCUGACAGCAAGGCUGCCGAGGCUACCGGGCACCUGUGUCCACCUUCAGUGGGUCUCCCUGUGGUCUGCCACAUGGACCUGGUGUCCAGGUUCACACUGGGCACAGCUGGGAGGAAAGAGCUUGGGGGUCAGGAUCCAGUGUCCUUGAGGGCUGGCUGUGGUCAUUCUGGAGGUCACUCAGUAAUUGUGGGAUGCCACUGACCUGUCUGUGGGAGGGUGGCCGAGGUGCUCUCAGAAUCUGUCCUGGGCACAGUGGGGCUGCUCUGUGGGGUAUAGGGCCUGAGGGGCUCUCGACGCCCUGGAGGGACUGGAGAUACCAGAUGCUGUGCUCAUGCUGCCUGUGCCUCCCUUGGGCUGGGACAAAGUGGAGGCUGCUGUGGGGGCCUGGCCUCAGGUCACAGCCCCAUGGGCACCUGAGCAAGACCAGCCAAUGCAUCUUUUCUCUGGGGGCCGGAAGGAGUCUGGGAUGAGGACUCUGAACAGGGGCUGUAGCUCAGGGACCUCAACACCCCACCACCCCAGCCAGGCUGAAUGUGCGUUUGAUAGUGGGGCAAGUCAGCAGCCAGGCUGGCUGUGUGUCCCCAUUGCGGGGCCUGGUGACUGCAUGUCACUCCUUCUACUCCCCACAGUAACCGUGUGACUGGUGUGUACGAGCUCAGCCUGUGCCACGUGGCUGACGCGGGCAGCCCAGGGAUGCAGCGCCGGCGCCGACGAGUCCUGGACACAUCUGUGGCCUAUGUCCGGGGCGAGGAGAACCUGGCAGGCUGGAGGCCCCGGAGCGACAGUCUCAUUCUGGACCACCAGUGGGAGCUAGAGAAGCUGAGCCUCCUGCAGGAGGUGGAGAAGACCAGGCACUACCUGCUCCUGCGGGAGAAGCUGGAGACCGCCCAGCGGCCUGUCCCAGAGGCACUGUCCCCGGCCUUCAGCGAGGACUCUGAGUCCCAUGGCUCCUCCAGCGCCUCCUCCCCGCUCUCGGCUGAGGGCCACCCAUCACCCCUGGAGGCUCCCAACGAGAGGCAGCGGGAGCUGGCCGUCAAGUGCUUGCGCCUGCUCAUGCACACAUUCAACAGAGAGUACACACACAGCCACGUCUGCGUCAGUGCCAGCGAGAGCAAGCUCUCCGAGAUGUCUGUCACCCUGCUCCGGGACCCGUCGAUGUCCCCUCUAGGGGCGGCCACUCUCACCCCCUCCUCCACUUGCCCCUCUCUGGUUGAAGGGCGGUACGGUGCCACUGACCUGAGGACCCCGCAGCCCUGCUCCCGGCCAGCCAGCCCAGAGCCUGAGCUGCUGCCAGAGGCCGACUCCAAGAAGCUCCCUUCCCCUGCCCGGGCAACAGAGACAGACAAGGAGCCCCAGCGCCUGCUGGUCCCUGACAUCCAGGAGAUCCGAGUCAGCCCGAUCGUCUCCAAGAAGGGGUACCUGCACUUCCUGGAGCCGCACACGUCGGGCUGGGCCAGGCGCUUCGUGGUGGUGCGGCGCCCCUAUGCCUACAUGUACAACAGCGACAAGGACACCGUGGAGCGGUUCGUGCUGAACCUGGCCACUGCCCAGGUGGAGUACAGCGAGGACCAGCAGGCUAUGCUCAAGACACCCAACACAUUCGCAGUGUGCACGGAACACCGCGGCAUCCUGCUGCAGGCUGCCAGCGACAAGGACAUGCAUGACUGGCUGUACGCCUUCAACCCCCUCCUGGCCGGGACCAUACGGUCCAAGCUCUCCAGAAGGAGGUCUGCCCAGAUGCGGGUCUGAACCUGAGCCCUCCCGUGACAGCCGGCAGGCCCAGCCCAUCCCCACCCUCAUCCUCGUCUGUCCUGUCACCUGCCGCCCAGCUCCUCUCCUGCCAGACAGCCCACGACCGGGUCGACCCCCCAGGGGACGCCCUUUCCAGGCCCGGGGACCUGUGCCACACGACCAGCUGUGCUCCCAGCAGAGGCUGCGCGUGUCAGUUCUUGCAGAAUGUGCUCUGGUGGAACAAGCUGGGAGAGGCUGGGGGGGCCAAGGGCGCAGGUUACGGGGGUUCUUGCUGCCGUUCUAAUAUUUUUUUAAGCAUAGACAGACUUAUAAUUAAUAUACGUUAGUUAGUGACAUUGAAACAGUCAACUCGGAAAUUAACUAUAAGACUUGUUCUAUUUAUAAGUAUUUAUUUCUAAUGCCUCCACAUAGCCCUGUAAUAUUCAGAUGGAACCCCCAACAACCUCCACCCCGUUUGUUCCCACGUGUGUCUCCCAAGCCUGCUAGGGACAGGCAGGGCAGGGACAGCCACUUUGGAAGGCCACAGUGAGGAGCUGUCUGGACCAGUGGGGCACCUUGGGGCUAGCACACGGGUGCAUUGCCUGGGCCCCAGGCUUCUCCAUAGCCACAUGGGUCCUGGGUGUAUGUGUGGGAGGGUGGGGGGGUGUCUUUGGUGCCUGAAGUCUGUGCAGCAUGGAGGGUGGUGUGAGUUCCUCUGGUGGGAGGUAGAAUGCACAUCUCUUCUGGGCGGCCACCUGAGAUGUGACUCUAAGAAGAGUUCCAGCAGCUUCCCCCAGGAAAGGGUGAGGGGUGACACUCGGCUCUGGCUCUGAGAUGAGGCAGACGGCACCCAGGCUGUGAUCUGUCCUGGGCGGGGACCGGGAGGGAGCGGGGUCGGGAUCACCCGCCAGUGUGCAGACUAUGGGGCUGUGUGCUGUCUCCGGACCAUCAGGGCAGGGUGAGACCAGGAAGUCAGGGAAGGUCGGAAUUCAGGGCGACGGUCUAGGUGUCGAGGGCUGUGGCACAGCCUCUUCAGCUGCAGCGAGAAAUGGAGUGAGCUCAAGGUAGCUUCUGGGAAGAAAUUCUGCCAUUAGCAGGUUUCUUGCAAAGACUUUCCUCUCUUUGUUCCCAGGGCAGAGAGUUUCUGUGAGUCCCAUUGAGAAAAUCCCACGGGGUGGGGGUAUCCUGGUCGGUCGGCAAUGGAGGGUGGCUGGCUCGGUGGUUAUUGUCUUCAAGGAGCUCUUCCUUCUGCAUCUGCGGUGUCCCUUUGUUCUUGUCCCAUUUCACCCCCUCUGCAGACACCAAUGUCCGAGGGCCACCCAGGACAGGACAGGGGUCAGCCCCAAGCUGAGAGUCUGGUCAUAGGAGUCAUGUCCAGAGGCCUAGGGAGAUUUUAGGGCCCUCCCCACCCACACCCACAGGUCGAUUUGGUCUCUUUUUAGCUCAAGGAAAGACAGUAGCCAAGCAACAGAGCCCCUCUCCCGCCAUGGCCUGUGGGAGCAGUUACGUCGGGUCUGGUGCUCCAGACCUAGGGCCCAGCACUUUCAUCAGAUCCUGCCUCCUGGAGUGGGGGAGAUGCAGCACCCCACUGGUUCUGAGGCCCCUACUCUCCCAGGCUGUCCCAUGUGAUGUUGACAUGAGCCUCAGAGACCCCAAUCCCAUGCCUGGGGGAGAGACAGCGGCUCAGGAGUGGGGGAGCGUGGGGCUUCUACACCACAUGGGAAGGCUCUGGCAUGAGGUUUUCCUUUGGGAAGGUUGUUUGGGCCCCUGAAGUUCCAUCUCCGAGAGUGGCGUGCAGGGCAGGCCAGGGCCCAUGCUGGCUGCGGUCUCUGUGGUUGCCUGCCUGGGCCAGCCUGUUUGGGAGCUGGGACUGUGGGCUCGCCUUUUCGUACCUGGGCUCAGGUGCGGUGUGGCCACCGCCACCCUCAUCCCCUGCCUGGGAGGCUUUCCCAGGGGCUGAUGGGGGUUUCUGUGAGGGAGAAUCAGGGCUCGGGAAGCCACGUCAGGGAAGGCAGGACACAGGACACAGCAGCUUUCUUUGGAAAUCUCCCAGGUGAGGAUUCACAUCCCAGAAUAAAAUUCAGAAGCCAGGUGGCCUGUGCUCCCCAUGGGUGUCCUCUGGAGGCAGUGGGCUAAGACGCAGAGAGGAGAGAAUGCAGAGCAGCUUCUUGCAGAAGCACCUGCUCCAGCAUCCAGGGCUGCCUGGAGGCAGGAAGGAGAGGCAGGGCAGGACAUACUGGUCUGAGAUGAGUGGGAGCCCCACGGGCCCCAGGCAGGCUAGAGGAGGCACAGGCCCUGCCGCGGCCAACUCAGGUCAGCCAGCCUGAGGCUGCGGACUCCAAAGGGUCUGGGCGCGCCCCCCAGGUCGCAGGUGUCUGAGGCCAGCCAACCUGCAGAGAACUCGCGGCAUGGGUGGGCUGAGCGGAGGUGCCUGGGAGCUGCCUAAAUUCAGAAGCCUCCACUGCCAUGGAGACUGCCUGGCUGUGUCCUCUCAGCCAGGUGCCGUGUUGGCCUUGGCUAGGACCCAGAGCCACACUGCAGCCUCCACCGACUCCCUCCUUCCAGGCCUGCUCUAGUGAGGAGUGCCUGAGCCAGGACCCAGAAACUCAGAGUUGAUGGUGAGAGGAGGCCGCCUGAGUCAGGACACCUGGCUUCUUGAAAGUUCGCUCUGCCAGAAACCACCUAGGGAUCACGUUAGCUGCAUUCCUUGAGCUCCCCAGGAGUCGGUUUCCACAUCUGUGAGGUGGAGGGCUGGUGUGGAGGUGCUCAUGGGGUGCGGUGCUCAGGAGACAGCCAGGCCCAGCAUGGCUGCUGCUUCCUGCUAAGUGGGGAAGGUGAGACAGAUCUGGAAAACCGUCUCUCUCAGAUGGUUUCAUUUAAUGCUUUAUACUGCCGAGUCUGGGGGCUUGUUUUGGUUUGGGGGCAGCCAUCUUCCACCAGAAAGGGGGAGCUCCUUCCACUGCGGCUCCAGAUAGAUGGGGAUGCCGGGCUCCAGGCCGACCAGCACUUGGGCUCUGAUGGGACACGGCCAGUGCCUAGGGGUGCCAAGUCCAAGGCCUCCCACUGGGAGUCAUCGCUUGGAAGAUGCCAAUGUUUCAUUCACCGGCUGCACAGGCACAAACUCCCCCACCCAGGACGGCUGUGAUGAGGUGGCCCUCCCUGUCAACCUGGUCCCUGGAGUCCCCAGCACCUGGGGCCCUGGUGGGGCUGAUGUCACAGGUGUUUACUGUGCUGCUGCACUGGUCCUAUGCCAGCCUCACCCGUGUGGGGACCACAGAAGGCACACUCCCUUACCCCCGGUGCCGGGCCGUGCGUCCCCGAGAUGGACAGCAGCUGUGGCGACCCGCGUUUCUCCCUGGGCCUGUGCUUCCUGUAGUUAGUCCGUCCCCUGGUUUCCCCGUGGCUCAGAGGCCGCGUCCCUGGCUUGUACAUACGUGAUUGCUGUGGGCACACCCCAGACCCCAUGUCAUAGCUGCCGUCCCGACGUCACAACGCCCGUCCCGAUGUCUUACACCCGAGUGUUAGCCCUAGGCUCCUGUACUGUGUGUGCACUUGAGGCUCUGUCCAAUUACGAAAUAAAUGUGGCUCUUACCCAACACACUC
rnacentral:sRNA from 1 species